AUUGAACGCUGGCGGCAUGCUUUACACAUGCAAGUCGAACGGUAACAGGCCGCAAGGUGCUGACGAGUGGCGAACGGGUGAGUAAUGCAUCGGAACGUGCCCAGUCGUGGGGGAUAACUACUCGAAAGAGUAGCUAAUACCGCAUACGAUCUAUGGAUGAAAGCGGGGGACCGUAAGGCCUCGCGCGAUUGGAGCGGCCGAUGUCAGAUUAGGUAGUUGGUGGGGUAAAGGCUCACCAAGCCAACGAUCUGUAGCUGGGCUGAGAGGACGACCAGCCACACUGGGACUGAGACACGGCCCAGACUCCUACGGGAGGCAGCAGUGGGGAAUUUUGGACAAUGGGCGCAAGCCUGAUCCAGCAAUGCCGCGUGCAGGAAGAAGGCCUUCGGGUUGUAAACUGCUUUUGUACGGAACGAAACGGCUCUGGUUAAUACCCGGGGCUAAUGACGGUACCGUAAGAAUAAGCACCGGCUAACUACGUG
rnacentral:rRNA from 1 species